rnacentral:rRNA from 1 species
AGAUUGAACGCUGGCGGCAUGCCUUACACAUGCAAGUCGAACGGCAGCACGGGGGCAACCCUGGUGGCGAGUGGCGAACGGGUGAGUAACAUAUCGGAACGUGCCCUGGAGUGGGGGAUAACUAGUCGAAAGACUAGCUAAUACCGCAUACGAUCUACGGAUGAAAGUGGGGGAUCGCAAGACCUCAUGCUCGUGGAGCGGCCGAUGUCUGAUUAGCUAGUUGGUGGGUAAAGGCCUACCAAGGCAUCGAUCAGUAGCUGGUCUGAGAGGACGACCAGCCACACUGGGACUGAGACACGGCCCAGACUCCUACGGGAGGCAGCAGUGGGGAAUUUUGGACAAUGGGCGCAAGCCUGAUCCAGCAAUGCCGCGUGAGUGAAGAAGGCCUUCGGUUGUAAAGCUCUUUGUCAGGAAGAAACGGUUCUGGUCUAAUACCUGAGCUAAUGACGUACCUGAAGAAUAAGCACCGCUAACUACGUGCACG